rnacentral:rRNA from 1 species
GACGAACGCUGGCGGCGUGCUUAACACAUGCAAGUCGAACGGAAAGGCCUCUUUCGGGGGGUACUCGAGUGGCGAACGGGUGAGUAACACGUGAGUAGCCUGCCCUUGACUUUGGGAUAACUUCAGGAAACUGGGGCUAAUACCGGGUAGGAGCUCCUGCUGCAUGGUGGGGGUUGGAAAGUUUCGGCGGUUGGGGAUGGACUCGCGGCUUAUCAGCUUGUUGGUGGGGUAGUGGCUUACCAAGGCUUUGACGGGUAGCCGGCCUGAGAGGGUGACCGGCCACAUUGGGACUGAGAUACGGCCCAGACUCCUACGGGAGGCAGCGGUGGGGAAUAUUGCACAAUGGGUGGAAGCCUGAUGCAGCAACGCCGUGUGCGGGAUGACGGCCUUCGGGUUGUAAACCGCUUUCGCUCAUGACGAAGCUUUGUGUGACGGUAGUGGGUAAAGAAGCACCGGCUAACUACGUG